CCCUCCUCCCGGACCGACCCGGCCGGGCCCGGCCCGCGACGUGCGGUGACCUCCCCCUACCCCUUUUCCUUCCCCCUCUUUCCCUCGCCCCUCCCUAGCCGGGCCACCGCCAUCGCCUCGGACCUGGGACCCGCUUCUUCUUCGGUCGCUUUCGAACUAAAGCAUCAAGACACAAUGGGGGCAUUUUUAGACAAGCCAAAGAUGGAAAAGCAUAAUGCCCAAGGACAAGGUAAUGGGCUACGUUAUGGGCUAAGCAGUAUGCAAGGUUGGCGAGUUGAAAUGGAAGAUGCACAUACAGCUGUGAUUGGUUUGCCUAGUGGACUUGAAGGAUGGUCAUUCUUUGCUGUGUAUGAUGGGCAUGCUGGUUCCCAGGUUGCCAAAUACUGCUGUGAGCAUUUGUUAGAUCAUAUCACAAAUAACCAGGAUUUUAAAGGAUCUGAAGGACCACCUUCUGUGGAAAAUGUCAAGAAUGGAAUCAGAACAGGUUUUCUGCAGAUUGAUGAACAUAUGAGAAUAAUAUCAGAGAAGAAACAUGGUGCAGACCGAAGUGGGUCAACGGCAGUAGGUGUCCUGAUUUCUCCCCAACAUACAUAUUUCAUCAACUGUGGAGACUCAAGAGGUUUACUUUGUAGGAACAGGAAAGUUCAUUUCUUCACACAAGAUCACAAACCAAGUAAUCCUUUGGAAAAAGAACGUAUUCAGAAUGCAGGUGGUUCUGUAAUGAUUCAGCGUGUGAAUGGCUCUCUUGCUGUAUCGAGGGCACUUGGAGACUUUGAUUACAAAUGUGUCCAUGGUAAAGGUCCUACAGAGCAGCUUGUCUCUCCAGAGCCAGAAGUCUAUGAAAUUGAAAGAUCAGAAAAAGAUGAUCAGUUUAUCAUCCUCGCAUGUGAUGGUAUCUGGGAUGUUAUGGGAAAUGAAGAGCUCUGUGAUUUUGUAAGAUCCAGACUUGAAGUCACUGAUGACCUUGAGAGAGUGUGUAACGAAGUAGUGGACACCUGUUUAUAUAAGGGAAGUCGAGACAACAUGAGUGUGAUAUUGAUCUGUUUUCCAAGUGCACCAAAAGUAUCACCAGAGGCAGUGAAGAAAGAGACAGAAUUGGACAAGUACCUGGAAAGCAGAGUAGAAGAAAUCAUAAAGAAGCAGGGCGAAGGCGUACCAGACUUAGUCCAUGUGAUGCGCACAUUAGCAACUGAGAACAUCCCAAACCUCCCACCAGGGGGUGAACUGGCAAGCAAGCGGAGUUUAAUUGAAGCCGUUUACAAUAGACUGAAUCCUUUCAGAAAUGAUGACACUGUAAGUACUAUCUUCUCUCCUCUCACUGCCUCUUCCCCUCCUCUCUAAAUGCAUAUCCUUCCUACCUGUUUUUGCAGAGCUGUUCACUGCACCCAUUCUCUUACACACACCCCUGAUUGAUUGCUCUGAAUUCUGCUUGCUCUGAUCUCUGCCUGAACAACAGUUCUAGUGAUUGAGGACAUAAUCAUGGACUCUACAUCAGCUGAUGAUAUGUGGUAAAAACUUCUCAUCUAGCCUGGAGUUUACCUUCAUCCUCCCAAGGAAGUACAUACAGCCCAACUUCAUUGAACCUUCUUAACAUCCAUCUUCAAUAUUAAAGAAGGGGAAUACUAUAAGGGUGAGCAAGAUGACACCACAGAACUACAGCAGUACAACAACUAGCCCAGAACUGAUCCUUUUAUUUUUAUUUUAUUUUUUUUUUAUAAAAUUGAGACUUAUGUAAACGUGAUUUCAAACCAUAAUUCAUUUUGUAAAUCAGACUUCAGCAAUUUUUGUUGUAUGAUUUUUUUUUUUUUUUUGGUAAAGUGCAAUUGUCCUUGUACAAAAUGCUCAUAUUUAAUUAUGAACUGCUUUUAAAAUCCCUAUCAAAGUUUAAAAUGUUCGGCUUGUUGUGUGAUGCAACAGAUAAGUGGGUAGCCCUUUAAAUUCAUGUUGUGUUUUGGAAUUGGGGUGGGGGUGGGGGAAGCGGCAGCCUGGCCAGUGAGAUGCUCAAAAAAUACACAUGAUUAUGAAGAAUAAUUUCAAAAAUCUUACAGAGAUGAACAUCCAUGAAGUUAUUUCAAACAUCUUUAAUUCUCUUGGUAGUGAGCUAGCAUAAGAAUAUAUAGCUAGUUCAUUCAUAAACUCUUUCAGGAUGUUUUUUUCCUUGUUGCCGCUUAUUAUUUCAGGUAAUAGUGUAUUCAUAAGAAUAUUGAUCUUGGGGCUAAAAUGCCUUGAUUCUUUGCACCUCUUUUGCAAGUCCUUACAUUAAAUUACUAAUUGAUGAGGAACAGCUUCCUACAUAGAGUAGGAAUCUGUAGCAUUUUUACUAUCAUGAUUGGCUGGGCCUUGCUGCUGUUCCUAGUAAAAUAUUCUGAACUCCAUUUUAUCAAUAAAGCUUGAUUUUAACAAACAAGACAUUUAAUCAUGUAUGUGUAAUUCCUCUUUUUCUCCCCCUGCCUUUUAAAAUGCCGUGUCAUUGUAAAUGAGGGGUUUAAGGUAUGUAGAUAUGAAAACCCAUUUUUAAAAUGGAAUGCAAUGUUGCCCAAGGCAUAGAUGAAUUUUUCCCCUUCCAUUAAAUGGACUAGAGGAUUUUAAGUAACUAUUAUUCUUUAAUCUACUUUAAACGGGUUUCUUUCAGACUGCCUAUUUUUCAUUCAGAAGUGCAUCAACUUGAAAUUACCCACCACUUAAUGAAAAUGUUAAUUUAAGCCUGACAAUCUAACACUUUAUGAUGUGUGUGAAUGUGUUUGUGUUUUAAUUGACCCACUUAUUUAGAAUACUAGUGGUUAAAAUACAUUUGUGAUUUGAAAUAGAGCAUGUUGACCACAUUUAAACAUUGGUCAUAAAAUAACUAUUAAAAGUUAAGGAAUUAUAGAUAUCAAAAUAAAAAUUAUCUUAUUUUAGGCUUAUCUUCUCCCUUUGAUCAUAUGAAAGUAAGUUUUCAAAUUAAGUCGUUGACAAACUACUGUUUUGUGCUCUUUUGUAUUGUCUCUUUAGGUUGAGAAUAUUGUAUUAUCAGUAUGUAGUUUUAAUUAUUCAGUAGGAAGAUUUCACAGGAAAGUCAUUAAAUGUAAAAUUUAACCCAUCAUCUAAUACAAAAUCAAAACUUGGUGUAAGAAUGUGGUAUAAUGCUCUCUAUUUACUCUGUCUUUCCCUAAUUUGGAAAGACACAUAUUUGUGUAUAUAUACAUAAUAUGUAGCCUUAAAACUAAUGCAAGGUUAAAGAACAUUGGACAAAGUAAUUUAAAAUGUCUCAGAUAAGUAUAGUUUAUAUACCAGCAGAAUUCCUUCCUUUAUCCCUCUUAUGUGGGGGUGAUUAAAUGUAUUUUAAUUGUCUUUUUGUAUCCUGUAUCAGCAUGAAUGAAGAAAAUAUAAGUACUAUUUGAAUUUAUCAUUUUAAAGUAAUUUGGGUUAAAGACCACUUCCUUUUAAUGUCUAAUUCUAUUGUAGAAUGAAAACUAUCAUAAUGUCCUAAGUUAAAGCUUCUUACUCCUUACAUAAUGUGUCGUUAAUAUGACCAGCAGUUUGACUACCAGGUACACAUAUACCAGUAUAAAAAGUUGAACUCUUAGGACAUGCCUGUUCUUUACUGUAUAGACUGAAGUUUAGUUCUAGAAACAAUAAACUUUUAACUGGACUAUGGACAUUUUUGAUAUAUAAAAUCUUAAAUCACAAGUAGAAUUGUGGCAGAAAACCAUAUUUCAAAUUACAAUCACAGUGUGUCAAAAUGAAAUUUAUUAAAAAAACAAUUUUGAGAGGUCCUUUCUAAAAAAUGAGAACAUAGAAACAUUCUACUAUUACAGUUGCCAGUGUUUCACCUAGGGCUGAUGGUGAAAGAAAUGUCUAAAAUAAUUUAUUCUGGCUUUGUAUUUAGUACUUACUGUGGUCUGAGAACACUGAAUCUAUUAUCUGUGAAUAAACACUGCCGUGCUAGGUACUAAUUUUAAUUAUGAAAAUACAUGCAAUGAGUAUGUAUACCUUAUUAAAACAAUGGACUAUAUGUUUUUACUAUUCCCUGAAAAAAUUAUUAACCAUACUUUUAAAAGGCACUUUUUUUGCACCUUUGUUAUGUAUUUCAUUUAUUGUACCUAUUCAGUUUUUGUUGCUGUGCUAAGAACUUUAGCACCUCAGGGGCUGUGCCACAUAUUUUUGAAGUGUCAUGUGCUAUUUCCCUUUGGGGGAAAAUUCUUGUGUGGUAACAGUGUUGUAAUGUGGUAUUCCAAAUGUACUUUGAUUUAAAUGUUUUAAUAGAAUGGACCCAGUUUACCUAUUUAAAAAGGAAAUGGCUUGUUGUAUAGAAAUCCACUUUCAUAAACCAUAGAGAUAUGUUCCCUUUACCUUACUUAGCUCCACUGAUUUGUCAAUUUUUGUGAGUACUUUCAGCCAGAUAAAAUGUCUUAAUGGGUUUCUUUGGGGACAUGUACCUUUUAAUAGGUAACUGUGUAAUGAUCUGAGCAGUUUUCAAUAUUAACAUUGACUUUUAGAAAUCAAUAUAUAUAUUCUUUAUUAAUUCAGCAUUAAAGAUUUAUUAAAUGAAAUCUUUAUUUUAGUUAUAAAUAUUGUGUUGACCUGCUCUUGUUGUAGUAUUGAGAACCACUGCAGAAAUUGGUAAUUUCAUUUCCUGGUUUCAUAUUAAAAAGAAUCAGGAUUUUAAAAAAGAAAUGAAUGUAUCUAAUUAAGGCUUUUUGAAUUACAAAUGGUUUCAUUUCUAUAAUAUAAUCCCUUUGAUGGUAUUUUAUAUUCUAUCCACUAAUAUAACUUUUCAAUUAAUUGAGCUCCUUGAAUGUGGUGGGCAUUGUGGAGUAUUCAAACAGGCCCUAACCUUAAGAAGCUUUCAGUAUAGUAGAGAAAUUUAACUUUUGUGUGUGGCCAAUCAAAUUAAGCCAUAAAAUUGAUGUCAUUUGCCCUUCAUCCUUCCUCUCUUCACCUUUUCCUAUCCUUCAAAUUAAAAAAAAUUUUUUUUAAAGUUUGUGCUCAGCAUAAGAAGCUGAAAUUUGGUGUGUUAAGGAUUGUUUAGUCCAUGUGCUUUAUAGAUUGAACUAAAGAUAUAUAGGAACCUGUCAGGAAGAAAAUCAUGAAUCACUUAGCUCUCAAAAUAGGUUUAGGAUUUGAGCUUUAUAUUUUUUAAACAGCCAGUCUCAUCAUUAAUUAGCAGCCCAGUGUCAGUGUUCUCUUCCUUUUCAGCAAAGUGGCUCUUUGUGGCUUAAUUAUAAUUUUACUUCAUCUAAUUAUUAAACAUAUUUAUUUAGAAAUUCAAUAUUUUACCCUAUUGUGCUAUUGAAAAAAAGGAUUUUUGUUUUGUUCUUUAAGGCUCUUAAUGGAGAGAUUAAAUGAGAAGUUUAAGGAUCUAAUGCUUUGAUUUCUAAUUAUACCGUAUUACUAUAGGAUAUACUGUUAGUACAAACGUUUUCAUGUAAAUAUAUCAGAACAUAAAAACUGUUUCAGAUUGUGUAAUUUAAUGCUCUGAAGGAUCCCAGUAACCAUCUUAUAGUAGAGCUUUACAAACAUUGCAGAGAGGUUAAAUAACAGUGGUCCAAAUUUCUAAUGGAUUUAUUUUCCUUUAGGUAUUGGGACAUUUCAUGGUUUUCUUUAUUUUAAUAGUUAAUAACAUGAAAUUUUGGAUAUCUGAUUCUCCUUUGUGUCUUUUUAAGUCAUUUUCCACCACAAUGCAUAAUUAAUAAUUAAUAAUAAUAAUUAAUUAAGUUUAUUAAACUAAGGCCCUUCUUUUAAAAGUAAACAUUAUUGCAGAGUGCUAAACACUUUUUUUUUAACUAUCUCCAAAUUUCUAGGUAUGGUUUAUUAGGGGGAAAAAAUCCCUGUUCUUUACUACUUUACAUACUUCAAGUGAUUUUCAAGUAUUAUAAAUAAUAAAGAAAUAAAAUGGAAUUUGCCUUUUUCUAUUUCAUUAUCAAGUGGGCAUUUUCCAAUUUUAUUGACUUUGGCAUAGCUAGCUUCUUUCCCUUUUACCUACUUGCUAUUUUAAGCUGUUUGCUCAUGGUCCCAUGAAAUUUCUAGCAAAUGCUUAGCUGAAAAUAUUCAUUAGGAUAACAGAGUUAUCCUAUUAGGUUUAUCACUGAGAACAAGAAAAAGAAGAGGCCUGUUCAAUUUAUUUACUGCUUAUGUAGCAAAGAGAUGUGUUUUUCCCUUCUUUCACCUAAAAUGUCUUAUCCUUCUCUUUGCUCUAGUUUUUCUUUAAUUUCAUUAUCAGACUGAAACAGGCCAAUUUUGUGUUUGGUUAAAAUUGCUUGGUAUUUAGCUUCUUUAUACUGAGAAAGGGCAUAUUUAAAGGUGUCUGAAUACUUAAUAACUUUGAGGGGUCAGUGUCUGAAUCUAAUUUCUUGGGGUGGAGAACUCUCCUUUGAAAACUGCCUUCACUCUUAUUGACUCCUCUGCAAUUUUAUAGAUUUAGGUAGUUGCCUGGGGUCAUUGACAGUUACUUAAUUUGUCCAUUGUCUUUCCUGCUGAUAGUUGUAUUAAAAAGACAGGAAUUCAACUGGGGUUUUCCAGAUUCCAAGAUCAACCCCCUAUCCAUUAAUGGCAUCAUGCUGCCUUUUAUUGAAUGAUAUGUUAAAAUAGGAUUAAAAUAAAGAAGUAGCUGGAGAUAAGGAUGAGUAGGGAUGAAAAUAGUGGGCCUUUAUUAUUUUAGUAGGUACAAUAGUUCUGGAAGUCCCACUGUGAAUCGCUAAUGAUGUAGCAUCCUGUCAGGAAAAUCCAACCUUAACUUCAACCUAUAUCACUUUCUGCUGCAAGAAAUUCUUAGUGAUAAAAGUUAUUGCUCCAUCAACGAGAAAGUAACUUUUAGGAGAAUUUUGUUGAUGUAGCCAUUUAUAUUUUUUCUGAACUCAUCUGAUAAAGAUAAAAGCAGUGUUUACUAUAAAACUCUUGACCUUUCACAUUAUCACUGCACCAAAAUCCUUUAAUGAUCCUAUCUAUGGGACAUUUAAAUUUUUCUAAUUAUUUUCUCAUCAACUUUAAUGUUUAGAAAAAUUGCGUAGAGCCAUUUUGUUCUUUUGUACACAGAACCUUUUGAUCAGCCAGGAAAUUACUAUUUAAUAACAUAUUUGCAAAUAUGUGUAAUACUUUUUGAAGCAACUUAGAUUUGUGUACAUAGUUGGUUCUGCACCUACUUUCUUAAUUCAGUAAUUGCAGGUAUGAUCAGUGAGUGCCAAAAAUUCCAUAUACAUAGUAUAUUUAUAUAGUGGCAUUAUGCUAUUAGACAUUUAUAAUAUAUAAAACAAGAAAACCCCAAACAAUUAAACCCAAUAGUGAUCAAAAUGCAAGAGGACUGUUUAUUUUAGUAAAUUGUGUUAAGUUUGGAGAGCUGGGAGAAGAUGCUUAAAGGCAAGAAUUUAGCAGAAGUCUGAAAUAGAGAGUUUUUCAAAAUAACUAAUGGCUGGGCUUUUCCCUGCACAGCAGAAUAUACCCUAUAACUUUUUAAAAUUUUGUAUUUUAAGUGUUGAAUGGUGAAGGGAAAUGAUAAAGUUAGGACUAAUCUCUCUUUUUUUUUCUUUGAGGAAAUCUAAUCCUUUUCUAAGAAGAUUUGGCCCUGGAAACUUAAUUGACAGAAGAUUAAGUGGAGUUAAAAAAAAAAAAAAAAGAUUUAUGGUAGAAACAUUUAAAGCACACCUAAUAUAAUGUUUGCUAUGCACGUAAUUUAUUUUCAGAAGUUCACUAAUUUGUUUUUUUCUUUUAACCCUUGGUUAUUAGGAGAUUAAAUUUCUGGUAUUCAUUGCUGGUGUUAGAAGAAUAAAAAAAAAUAUUGCACAUAUAUUCAGGCCAUCUCUGAUUUCAAGUAAAUCUUAUGAAUCAAGUGAAAUCAAGCUAGAUUAAAGUGCUAAUAGAGAAGAAAUUAAUAAUUCUGCCCAACAAUCCCAGUCAUCAGCCCAGGGUUAAUGACAUUUUUUUCCCCAAAACACAUGUUCAAUAAAAAAAAGGUUUGACUAUUAAUUGAAGUUUGGAUUUUUUUUUUUUUGGUCACUAAUUGGAUGUUUUGAUUAAUUUUGGACCCGUCUCUAGUAGAAGUUUGAAGUAGAGAAAUUACUACUCUCUCAUCUAAUGACCUUUUAAUGAACUCAGUCUCUUUAUUGGAGAAAUACAUCUCAUAUGUAGUGCCAUGCAAUGCUGAUUGUUUUAGCUCCUGGCAUAGUAUUUAAAAUUUUUUGUGAAAAUGUAAUUUUCCCCUUUAAUUUGUAUUAAUGCUAUGAAUGAGGACAUGUAAGCUUAAAAAGCAUGUUUGCAGAAUACUUAGCUUCUUUAUAAAAUUUUAAAUUUUGAGACUAAUAUAUAAAAGCAGAACUAUUUUCCUUAAAUACAAUGUGUAAUAUUCUCCACAGUGAUUACCCACUAUUUGAAGUUUAUGUGAUCCAAAAUGUGUUUACAAUAAGUUCAAUAAAUGUAUAUUUUGUAUUGUGUACCAGUUUCUGGUCCAAAGAAAAUGUGUGAAUUUAGUUUCUAACUCUCUAAGGUAUACUUUCUGUUUUGACUCCAUUGAAGAAUUACAUUAAGCCUGUGAAUGGUUACAGAAUGUAUAUGAGAAAUGGGACUUAGAAAUAAUUUAUAGUUUUAAAAAAUGGUGCCACUAAAUAAUAAACAGGCAAUUGCAUAA